CGGAGAGGGAGCCUGAGAAACGGCUACCACAUCUAAGGAAGGCAGCAGGCGCGCAAAUUACCCAAUCCUAAUACAGGGAGGUAGUGACAAGAAAUAACAAUACAGGACUUUAACAGUUUUGUAAUUGGAAUGAGUUGAGUAUAAACCCCUUUACAAGUAUCAAUUGGAGGGCAAGUCUGGUGCCAGCAGCCGCGGUAAUUCCAGCUCCAAUAGCGUAUAUUAAAGUUGUUGCAGUUAAAAAGCUCGUAGUUGGAUUUCUGUUAAUAAUUUAUAUAUAAUAUUUAACAUAUUUAUAUAAUAUUAACAUAAUUCAUAUUACUAUUUAUAGUAUAUGAAACUUUACUUUGAGAAAAUUAGAGUGCUUAAAGCAGG
rnacentral:rRNA from 1 species